ensembl:snRNA U6 U6 spliceosomal RNA
GUGCUCACUUCCAAAGCACUACACUAAAUUUGAAAAGAUACAAGGAAGGAAGAUCAGCAUGGCCCCAGUGCAAGGAUGACACACAAAUUCAGGAGGCAUUCCAUAUUGAG